UAUUGUAUCUCUGAGAAUUUAAAAUUCAGGCACACUGAAAAAAGGUCUACUAUAAACACAUUUUUUUUCAAGUCAAAAUAUGAGACUGAAAAGUUUUCAGUGUUGGGGUAAUAGUGUAUCCAGUACAAUAUAGUGGCAUAGCUCUCUUUCUACUUGUGAUACAAUGCCUCUGGCUUAGUAUAACCUCACUAUACAGUAUAUUGAGUUUACUGAAAUUCUGGAGGCUGAUAAUAAUUAAGUGAUAAGACAUGACAAGUAGUAUUUUAUUAUGCAAUCCCAGAAUGCUUAGGUGAGUAGUUAGGCACACAGCUAAUUGCUUUGAACCACCUGGAAUAAUUAUUUUUAUACAUAACAUGGAUAGUGGUAGGGAAUGAUCUGGUUUGCUUGCAGAUAUGCAGUUAUCACAUCUUAGCCACCUUGGGAAAAAACGAUAUGCUUAGUAAAUAGACUGAUAUUGACUGAAGUAGUAAUGACAAAGGAUGACCAUUGCUGCUGUUUUGAUGAUUGACAGGGAUAAACAUGUGACCCAAGGCAUAGUAAUAGGCCAUUAGUCUCCAAGCAGAGCCCUGAAAUGCAGUUGUGGGUGUUAUUAUAAGCUGAGACUGACUGCAGGUAUUUCAAGUUUAGAUGAUGGGCCAGAAUAAGGCAGCAUCCUUGAGUAAGCAUAGGGUAUGUCAAGGGAACAAGGUGUGCAUGAGCUCCAUGAUUUAGAUGCAUGCUAAACUUUUCAUAGGGAUUGUAAUAAUGUGUAAGUUGCCCCAAAUAGCUUCUAGUCUUCUUUUUUGAAAUGCUUACUAUAUUUUCAUUCAAUUGACUUAACCUGUCCUAAAAGGUUACAUUUCCAGAAAAUGGGAUAUACUUAAUAUGGACACUUUGUCCUCUUAUGUCAGGUUUAAUCAAUUAUUGCCUUGGUUUUCAAAUUUGUUUGUUCACCUCUCCGAGCCUUAGCUCACACUGGGUUGAAUCUGGGGCCUAAUGAAAGUCACUUCAAAAAUUUCACUUGUAUUAAUGGGACAAGAAUUGAGGCCUGGUUGUUUUACCGCUUUGGGAUACUAGCAGAUUAAAAUUUGUAGCAUUUCUCUAGUCCAGACCACAAUAACUGUAUCUUGUCUUCAUUGCAGUCUUAAUGACAUAAUGGUAUAUCCUUUUGUAUUACUACUUAUGCUGCAUACAUGUAUAUUGGAUAAUGACUACAUAAGUAUUUACCAACGAUAGCAAUUACAAGUUAAGUUUGAAAACUGCACUGAACAUUGGGAGCAGUUAUUCUCUCUAAGCAAGACGCCAGGCUUGGGUGUCCGGGUUAGGAAGGAAAUCUGCUUGCU
rnacentral:lncRNA from 1 species